rnacentral:rRNA from 1 species
AUACCGGCAGCUCAAGUGGUAGCCGCGAUUAUUGGGCCUAAAACGUUCGUAGCCGGAUAAGUAAGUCUUUGGUUAAAUCCUGCGACUCAACCGUGGGAAUUCUAGAGAUACUGCUUGUCUUGAGACCGGGAGAGGUUGGAGGUACUCCUAGGGUAGGGGUGAAAUCCUGUAAUCCUAGGGGGACCACCUGUGGCGAAGGCGUCCAACUGGAACGGGUCUGACGGUGAGGGACGAAACCUAGGGGAGCGAGCCGGAUUAGAUACCCGGGUAGUCCUAGGCGUAAAUGAUGCGAGUUAAGUGUGGGGGCAUCUACGAGAUGGCCCUGUGCUGUAGGGUAGCCGUUAAACUCGCUGCCUGGGGAGUACGGUCGCAAGGCUGAA